ACAUACACAUCCUCCCCUCCACUCAUAUCUUUGCAAAAAUGGCACCCAUGACCUCACAGUCUCAAAACAAAUGGCAUGUGAGGGAGAAUAAAAGUCUCCAUUGUUCUCUGUUGUUCUCCUUGAAGAGGCAAACACCAAGUAACCACAACAAAAUGAUCUCUGUGGAGCCCCGUCUGCAUGGAGACCGGGAGUGACAACAGUAGAGUCCCUCAGCAAACACCUGUAGACACUCUCGGGCCUGCUGAUGGCAAACCAGAUCCGCUUACUGGACUCAUUCCUGUACUUUUAUCCCAACAAACUGUGACAUGCUGAGAUGUGAAGGCUGUCAACUUUUCUUUGUAAAUGUUUCAACCCAGGAAGACAUUAUCUUACCCGCCAUGAAGCCUUCUGGAAACACAUUCCUCUGGAGCAGCAAAAGGGGAAGCCAAUUUUGACGCACACCAACCUAGAUGCUGGAAGUUUCCUUUCGCCCAGCUCUUGGCAAGAUGAGUAUCAAGCCGAGAUUUAAUUACAGACCUGGUCAGCACCUACACACAGUAUUCAUUCCCUGCAGACAUCUGCCUGCGCUUUGGAUCACAAUAGGUCCUACCACGAUCAGUUCUGCAUUUUAUGGUAAGACAGGUCUGGAGCCACUGAUAGGUUUCCACAGACCAGACACUAAUUUCAGUAUCCUGUACUUAGAAUUUCCAAAUAAAAAAAAUUUAAGAAAGCAUCUUCAAGACACAUGCACAGGGACACUGUCAGUCGCUCCAAUCCCCUCGAUGAUUUUACGGUGGAGAACACUAGGCAGAGCUUGGAAGGCACACGACAGAGGCUGGCAUGCACCUAACUUGCAAACAUUCUCUUUGGUUUUAUCUAACAGUUCUGAACAGUAAAAAGGUUAACUUGAAAAAAUUUUUAAUGGAAAUAUGAAGAGAGAGAGAAAGCUCAGGUUUCUUAGGCUAGGAAAAAUUACAUUUAAUGCCCCUGACCGGGGAGAAAAGGAUGUAAUUUGAUUACAGUUGUGUAAUAAGUUUAGAGUCAGAGCUUUUACAAGAAAUAUCUGCAUCUCAUCUGAAGAAUAGGCUUUUUUUUUUAACCAUGGUAACUGUGAGGGCCAUGCAUCAUUAAAUGUUAAGGAUUUCAAAAUAAUAAGGGAAGAAAGAUCCUCAUUCAUAGGCACAUUUUUUGUAUGCAUAUAUAUACAUUUUUUAAGUAGAUACACAUACAUAUACAUACACA